GUCCAGAUAGCUUAGUGGUUAGAGCACCCGUCUGAAAAACGGGGGGUCGGUAGUUCGAAUCUACUUCUGGACA
rnacentral:tRNA from 1 species